rnacentral:sRNA from 1 species
AGAUGCAGCUGCUGCACAAGACGGAGGACGGGGAGUUCUGGAUGUCCUACCAAGAUUUCCUGAACAACUUCACGCUCCUGGAGAUCUGCAACCUCACGCCUGAUGCACUCCCUGGGGACUACAAGAGCUACUGGCACACCACCUUCUACGAGGGCAGCUGGCGCAGAGGCAGCUCCGCAGGGGGCUGCAGGAACCACCCCGGCACAUUCUGGACCAACCCCCAGUUUAAGAUCUCUCUUCCUGAGGGGGAUGACCCAGAGGAUGACGCAGAGGGCAAUGUUGUGGUCUGCACCUGCCUGGUGGCCCUAAUGCAGAAGAACUGGCGGCAUGCACGGCAGCAGGGAGCCCAGCUGCAGACCAUUGGCUUUGUCCUCUACUCGGUCCCAAAAGAGUUUCAGAACAUCCAGGAUGUCCACUUGAAGAAGGAAUUCUUCAUGAAGUAUCAGGACCAUGGCUUCUCAGAGAUCUUCGCCAACUCACGGGAGGUGAGCAGCCAACUCCGGCUGCCUCCGGGGGAAUAUAUCAUUAUUCCCUCCACCUUUGAGCCACACAGAGAUGCCGACUUCCUGCUUCGGGUCUUCACCGAGAAGCACAGUGAGUCAUGGGAAUUGGAUGAAGUCAACUAUGCUGAGCAACUCCAAGAGGAAAAGGUCUCCAAGGAUGACAUGGACCAGGACUUCCUACAUUUGUUUAAGAUAGUGGCGGGAGAGGGCAAGGAGAUAGGGGUGUAUGAGCUCCAGAGGCUGCUCAACAGGAUGGCCAUCAAAUUCAAAAGCUUCAAGACCAAGGGCUUUGGCCUGGAUGCUUGCCGCUGCAUGAUCAACCUCAUGGAUAAAGAUGCCUCUGGCAAGCUGGGGCUUCUAGAGUUCAAGAUCCUGUGGAAAAAACUCAAGAAAUGGACGGCAUCAAGCUGAACAACAAGGUAAUGCAGGUCCUGGUGGCCAGGUAUGCAGAUGAUGACCUGAUCAUAGACUUUGACAGCUUCAUCAGCUGUUUCCUGAGGCUAAAGACCAUGUUCAGUGAGUUAGGCAUCUACCCACUCCCCAGCCUA